UGUGCUAGGUAAAAUGGAGAAUCCUCUUCCUAGUGCUGGAACCUUUCAAACUGUGAAUUUCUCUAUAAUUGUUCUUUCAAAAGUAACAUCCUUGUACCUGUUGACGUGGAAAUAACGCCAAACUAUCAAACAGUCAGAAAAUCCCAAGUCUUUAACCACAAUUUCACCUUCAAAACAAUUUUGAAAUUCACAUUUAAAAGUUUCACACACACACACACACACACACACACACACACACACACACACACACAUAUCCAUACCCUCCCUAUCUUUGAGGAGGUUGGGAUUCUCUGGAUUGAAAAACUGUUUUCAUUCCCCUUUAACUCCUGAAAAAUAUAAUCGUGCGAGUCUAUAGAUCAAAAUGAUUGUUAAAAUAAUCCCCAUAUUCUAAGCUUUGCAUUUCUGAGGAUUUCAUCAUAGGAUGACAGAACAUUUGAUCUAACAGGAGAAAAGUGGGAAAUUACUUCAAAUGGGUUAGAAAAGCUCCCUCAUUUGGAAUAAGAAUGUCAGGUAUAAGUUGGUAAUGACCAGCAGUCAGCUGUAGAGCUUGAUAGACACUUAGCUGAGCCAUUUCUCAGCCCUUCCAUUGGCCCUUGUGACUGUAUCCUAACCCAUUUUCUUCCAUAGCAUUUCUUUUCCCCAUGAUCUUUCCAAUGAAUUCACCCUUAGAUGGCAAUUCUCUCACACCAAGCUAAGGUUAUCUUUCUUACUACCAAUUCCUUCUAGGCUUCGUCAUUUCUUUCCUAACGUCUUCUGAUUCGACUUUGAGACAACCCAGCACUCUGGAAUCUUUGCUGCAUCUUCUCCAAUGAACAGAUGUUCCUUUCCAUUCUCUUAACAAGCUGUCCACCCUAGAAAAUCAGAACAAGUGGUUGCUGGCAAGGAAAGCAUAUGAUGGUGUCCCUGUGAUGUUCAGGUGGCUCAGAAGAUGUAUUUGGUUCAAGAUUGGAGGGGGAGUGGCAGACCUCUACUUUGGCCAGUGAGGUGAGUGGCUGUGGCAGACUGCAUGAUGCGUCCAAACCCUUUUUCUUUGACUCUUCCAUGAGGCGCUGGAAGUCUUGAAUAGGAAAGCAAGGAAUCAAUAGCUCAGAGGCUAAGCUCUGAGCAUUACUUCAUAGGGAUCUUAACCUGUUGUCCUGACAUUUCCCAAAAAGGAGCAUUUACUAAAGAAGAAUGGCAUUUCCUCGGCCAGGCUAUGAAACAAAGUGAGGCAAAAGGACAUAGAGUGUUAGCCGCCAUUGAGGUCCCAUGCACUCUAGUGAGGAUACUGCACAAACUGUGGAGAGUUGAGCUGUUCCUCACCUGCAGCCCCACCUUUCACUGCUUCUACUCACUCUUCUUUACCCUUUGAAUCAGAUGGCCAAGGAGAUACACCCCUUCCUUUAUGCUGCAGAUGCCAAGAACCAGCCCCAUGGCCUGGGGCAAGCCUCCUGCCCAAAUCCCUUGUUUCUGUCCUCACUGCUGUCAAAUGAUAGCUAAACCCCAGCAUGGAGGCAUGCUGUGUUGCCUUCCUCCCAAGGAGCAGAUUUUGCUCGCAAGCUCUCCCACCUUGGAUGCCUCCUGACCACAGUCAACAUGACUUUCACAUCAAUAAAAUGUCCCCUUUUCUUUUGAA